GUAGCCAAUCCCAUUAGAACUAUGGAAUUAAGAGUCCCAUUAGAACUAUGGAAUUAAGCGUGCUUGGGUUAGAGUAGUAUUGGGAUGGGUGACCUCUAGGGAAGUCCUAGUGUUUUACA
rnacentral:rRNA from 1 species